rnacentral:sRNA from 1 species
GCGGAAUUCGUGAGACCCUUUCUCUGCCUGAAUGCUUGGCUCAAUCUGUUUUUCUCCAAGCUCGCCUUACAUUUCUGAUGCCGAAACCCGAAAGCCAGGAGGGAAGACCCACUGCAGCUAGGAAAGCUGCUCUCUGAAGCCCACCUCUGGAGGUUUCCUCCCUUGGACCUUGACAAGAAACUGGAAUCAGGCCCCAGGGCAGGACUCUCCAGUUGCCUUGCUGGACUGACAACAACUUUUCUCUGGGUUUGAUGAUG